rnacentral:lncRNA from 1 species
UUCAUUACAUGCUCUCAUGAAAUGCAUCACAUCACAAAUAUAUCAUCUCACGGAUGAACUUGUCACCAAUAGCCCUCUACUACAUGUCACAAUAUGUCCCACUGUGCCAAGGAGACAAAGUCAUCACCUGGACUACUCUUAUCUAUCUCAUAACAUAACAUGUCCCACUGUGCCAAGGAGACGAAGUCAUCACCUGGACUAUUCUUAUCUCUGCUCUGACAGCCCAGCUGUCUAACUCAUAGUACCAGGAGCGACCCGGACUAUCCAGGGGCGACCUGGUAUGGCUAUCUCAUGCCAUAUCUCAUAUGCUCUCAGAGUAUCACAACUGAUAUCAAGGGCUAUGGAUCACUCAACAUUCAUCCACACAAAUAACAUCUUAUGCAAUGCAGCAUAUUCGUGGAUUCUAAUGCAACACAACCUAAUACAUAACAUGGCAUUUUAUGAUGCAUGGAUCAUGCUAGAAACGUGUCAUUUCUCAAUUUAAAAUAUUAAGUUUAGUUCCACUCACCUCUGCUCUUCAAGCAGAUACUGACUGAUUCUGCAACUACUACUCCUGAUGACCUCCUCGAUCUCUCGGGUCCAAUCCUACACAUAUGGACUCGAGUGAGGUAUCAAACAUACUCUGAAUAACUCAUAAACAAUUCCCCAAAACCCCUCUAAAAGCUCUUAGAACAAUCACAUAAAACAUGCAAAAGAAGGCUGGACAGAACAUUUUCGGCAGCAGGUUCGGCGGCCGAAUGUCCUAUCCAGAGCCGAAACUCAAGCACCUUCGGCGGCCGAAUCUCUACUUUCGGCGGCCGAACCC